CUACGUGCCAGCAGCCGCGGUAAUACGGAAGGUCCGGGCGUUAUCCGGAUUUAUUGGGUUUAAAGGGAGCGUAGGCCGUGGAUUAAGCGUGUUGUGAAAUGUAGACGCUCAACGUCUGAAUUGCAGCGCGAACUGGUUCACUUGAGUAUGCACAACGUAGGCGGAAUUCGUCGUGUAGCGGUGAAAUGCUUAGAUAUGACGAAGAACUCCGAUUGCGAAGGCAGCUUACGGGAGCACAACUGACGCUGAAGCUCGAAGGUGCGGGUAUCAAACAGGAUUAGAUACCCUGGUAGUCCGCACAGUAAACGAUGGAUGCCCGUUGUUAGUUCACUUAAGAAUUAGCGACCAAGCGAAAGCAUUAAGCAUCCCACCUGGGGAGUACGCCGGCAACGGUGAAACUCAAAGGAAUUGACGGGGGCCCGCACAAGCGGAGGAACAUGUGGUUUAAUUCGAUGAUACGCGAGGAACCUUACCCGGGCUUGAAUUGCAGACGAACGAUUCAGAGAUGAUGAGG
rnacentral:rRNA from 1 species